rnacentral:lncRNA from 1 species
GGGGGAGGGGCGGCGAGGCGAGGCCUGCGGAGCGGAGGAAGACAAACAUAAAGAUGAAGUGCUUAAUUCAAGGUCACACAAUGUCGGGGAUGGACCUCCAGAUUUCCUUACUGGUGAGACGUGGUCUUGUAACACAGUGGUUAAGAAUGUGACUUUGGAGCCAGCCUGCUAGGGGCUGAAUUCUGACUCAGCCAUUUACUAACUGUGUGACCUUAGGCUGGAGUGCAAUGGCAUGAUCUCGGCUCAUCACAACCUCUGCUUCCUGGGUUCAAGCGAUUCUCCUGCCUCAGCCUCCCGAGUACCUGGGACUACAGGCACUCGCCACCAUGCCCGGCUGAUUUUUGUAUUUUUAAUAGAGAUGGUUUCACUAUGUUGGCCAGGCUGGUCUCGAACUCCUGACCUUGUGAUCUGCCCACCUCAGCCUCGAAAAGUGCUGGGAUUACAGGCGUGAGCCACUGCGCCCAGCCUUGUAUUUUUUUUCAGUUUGGGUAGCUGUCCCUAAUUCAUUUGUUAAAGGAGAAGCAAGAGCAAGAACCUUUAAUCUGUUCUCCUCUUCCCUAAUUUGAAAGUAGCUUGUUAUUUUGAAUAUCACUUUCUCUGAAAUAGCACAUCUCCAUCUCAGAGAAUGGAUUUAAUGUUUGGAUACAGCCAAAAGUCAUUUCAUUACCAAACCAUGGGGUGAAUAUACCAUGUAAAGCAGUUUGGGAUCAGAACUCACAGUCUGAAUUGUAAGUGAUGAGACUGCUGUCUCUCUGCUACAGCUUCUUGGCUGGCUCUGAAGGCUCUUUGAAGGCAGAUCCUAACAAGGGGACUGCUUUGAAGGGCCAUUGUUCAUUUGGAAUGAUAAAGUCUAUGUUGUUCAAAAAACAAAUGCUUGUAGCAGGUAUUUUUUCACUCCAGACUGAGAAUAUUGGUGGGAUAUUGAUAAGGGGUACUGAAUGGUAAUAAACAUGUGCUCUAGCUCUGUGCUAGUCAGCUUAUUUCAGAACUCUAGUUUGAUUCAGUUUCUUGCCUCUGACUCAAAAUGGAGGGAGAGUGAUUUUUACAUAAGAGAACACACCCACAUAUCCUUUUGGCAGCAGCUACCUGCCAGAGAUGUUGAAGAAGAGUAGCCAACCUUUACACAGCAGAUAUUGUGUGCCAGUCAUAGUCCUAAGUAUAAUACCUUACAUGUAUAAACUUCUUAUAAGGUUGGUGCUCUGUACCGAAUUGAAUAGUAUCCCCCAAAAUUCAUGUUGUCCCAGAACCUAUGAAAGUGAUCUUACUUGAGGGAGGGGGGAGGGGGGAGGGAUAGCAUUAGGAGAUAUACCUAAUGCUAAAUGACGAGUUAAUGGGUGUAGCACACCAGCAUGGCACAUGUAUACAUAUGUAACUAACCUGCACAUUGU